rnacentral:rRNA from 1 species
GAUGAACGCUGGCGGCGUGCCUAAUACAUGCAAGUCGAGCGAACGGACGAGAAGCUUGCUUCUCUGAUGUUAGCGGCGGACGGGUGAGUAACACGUGGAUAACCUACCUAUAAGACUGGGAUAACUUCGGGAAACCGUAGCUAAUACCGGAUAAUAUUUUGAACCGCAUGGUUCAAAAAUGAAAGACGGUCUUGCUGUCACUUAUAGAUGGAUCCGCGCUGCAUUAGCUAGUUGGUAAGGUAACGGCUUACCAAGGCAACGAUGCAUAGCCGACCUGAGAGGGUGAUCGGCCACACUGGAGCUGAGACACGGUCCAGACUCCUACGGGAGGCAGCAGUAGGGAAUCUUCCGCAAUGGGCGAAAGCCUGACGGAGCAACGCCGCGUGAGUGAUGAAGGUCUUCGGAUCGUAAAACUCUGUUAUUAGGGAAGAACAUAUGUGUAAGUAACUGUGCACAUCUUGACGGUACCUAAUCAGAAAGCCACGGCUAACUACGUG